CCUACGGGUGGCAGCAGUGGGGAAUAUUGCACAAUGGGGGAAACCCUGAAGCAGCAACGCCGCGUGAGUGAAGAAGUAUUUCGGAAUGUAAAGCUCUAUCAGUAGGGAAGAAGAUGACGGUACCUGAGUAAUAAGCCCCGGCUAACUACGUGCCAGCAGCCGCGGUAAUACGUAGGGGGCAAGCGUUAUCCGGAUUCACUGGGCGUAAAGGGUGCGUAGACGGGGAGACAAGUCCGAGGUGAAAGCCCGGAGCUCAACCACGGGACUGCUUUGGAAACUGCCUGACUGGAGUGCUGGAGAGGCAAGCGGAAUUCGUGGUGUAGCGGUAAAAUGCGUAGAUAUUAGGAAGAACACCAGUGGCGAAGGCGGCUUGCUGGACAAUAACUGACGUUGAGGCUCGAAAGCGUGGGGAGCAAACAGGAUUAGAUACCCUAGUAGUC
rnacentral:rRNA from 1 species